ACCGGCGGCUCGAGUGGUGGCCACUAUUACUGGGCUUAAAGCGUUCGUAGCUGGCUUGUUAAGUCUCUGGGGAAAUCUUCCGGCUCAACCGGAAGGCGUCUCAGGGAUACUGGCAGGCUAGGGACCGGAAGAGGUGAGAGGUACUCCAGGGGUAGGUGUGAAAUCCUGGGCUCCUAGGGGGACCACCUGUGGCGAAGGCGGCUCACCAGAUCGGCUCCGACAGUGAGGAACGAAAGCUACGAGAGCAAAUCG
rnacentral:rRNA from 1 species